GCCCCGCGGGAGCUUCGUUCUGAGAAGAGGUCGAUGGCGCCGGAGUUUGCGGCCUCCGCGCAGCAAUGGGUCUGCCUGCCGCGGAGAUGGGUGUGUCACCGGCUUCGCUGGGCUCAGGCUCUUACGUCAUAAAACAAGAAGGUAGCUGAAUCCAGGCCAGAGAUCAAGAAGAUUUUAACUAACACUUGCUCAAGAUUCGUUCCCUAAAGUUGAGGAAACUGAGGCUUGAAGAAGUUGCACAAUUUGGCUGAAAAUCCAGUAAAUAAUAGAGUGAAGAUUGGAUCUGAGACCUUCUGAUUCCAAGAUGGAAGCUAUGAACUGGCUUUUGGAAAUGGGCAGUCAAUGUCGAACACAGUAGCAGCAUAACUGGCUUAUUCUGAUUGAUGGGCAUACCCUAUAAUGCAGAUGUGACCCACAGAGGAACUCAAGAGUCUGAAGGCUCAAAGAAAGACUCUACAGAUAUUGUUCUCCAGUCUUAAAACAAAGAUGAAAACACUCAUUGUCCAGCUCCAAGAACUCUACUAGCCAGUGGAGACAGAUGUAUACACAGGUAAAUACAAAUGCAUAAGAGACUGGUGAAGGAUUGUUCAUCUUACUUAAUAGAUGUUCAUGACUAGGUCAGGGAACAAAAUUUGCCUAAGGCAGCUCGUCUUCUAGUUUUAUCAUCAUUAAUUAAUUUUGGACCAUUUAACACAUGCAUAGAGCUGUGCUAUUUCUAGAAAUAUAUGAAAUGGGAAUAUGAUAGCCCAUCUCAGCUAAUCAGCCUCUUCUUCCUGGCUCUGGAGGUUUUAAAAACAGUGACUCAUAAAAUAUUUCCCAGGCAACCGUCUAUCCAGUCUUCCCACAAGUCUGAAUUUGUCAGCCUGUCUCGAUUUUAUCUAAGAAAUUAAAUCUCAAUUUUAGUAUUAUUAGCACUUUUACUGGCUUACCAUUUUUAAAAGAGAACAUGUAAAUUAUAAUGAAGAUAAAUAAGAAAUGAAAAGCCUUAAAUACAAUGGCAAUGAUUUUUAGUAAAUGACCAUUAACAAAGAUUUCCAGAAAUUAAUCGGCACAGAUGGGCAUGGCAAUCACUUAUGAAGGAAGUCUUCAUAGAAAUGCUUGGCUGUGAGGGUUCUAGGAAAUAUUGUCUGAUACACUGUACAACCUUUCCAAAGGAUAAUUUUUGAAUAUGAGUUAAGAAGCUUAAAGGGGUUUUCAUUUUUGAAGUAAUUAUUCCAUUUCUUGAAAUCUACAUUAAAGAAAUCAGAGGUUUACAUAUCAUUGCAAUGAUAUGUGUUAUGGCAAAUAUUCUAAACAGCCUCAAAAAUAGGGAAAAAUUUAAAAGAAUUAUUGGUAGAACCAUACUAUAGGAUACUACACAAUCAUGCAAAAUUACGUUUUCAAAAACUUCAUGUGUAUAAUGACAUAAGUAUAUGCUCUCUGUAUAGCACAAGCUGGAAAAAAAUCAAGUUACAAGAGAUAUGUACGGUUGAUUCCAAUUUAGAUAUGUUACAUAAAAGAGAUUGGAAGAAAAUACACCAAAAUAGUUUUCUCUGGCUAGUGAGAUUACAGAUGGUCUUCCCAUUCUGGAUUUUCCAAAUUUUCUACAAUCAGUUCUGUGGGGAGGAGGGGCUAUUUUUUGUAAAUGUUUGCUUUGUGCAAUAAAAGGUCAAUCCUUAUGAUUGGAAAAGGAGUGAUGUUUAGAAGUAUGGAGCAUACUGAAGGUUUCCAUGGAAAGAAUAUAAAGGACAUGCUUCAUACUUUACCUAAACAUUGUUGCAUAUUCAUCUAUGUUCCCAUCCAGGCCUUACAACAUUCUCUAUAAAGAUCUAUCACUUCUUAGGGAAAACAAAAAAGAAGCAAAACACAUUGAGUGGUUACCAUAUGCCAGGUACCUUCACAUAUAUUGUCUUAUAUGAUCCUCACAGAAAUCUAUAACAUUGACUUCUAAUACAUUUAGGCAACUUACUCAAAGUGAUAGAAAUAUUACCUUAUUAGACCCAAGAUCUGAAAUCCAAUAACAAGUUCCUACUAUAUAGCAAAGGAAGCUAUAUUCAAUAUCCUGUGAUAAACCAUACUUGAAAAGAAUAUGAAAAACAAUGUGUGUGUGUGUAUAUAUAUGUGUGUGUGUGUGUGUAUGUGGGUAUAUAAUUGAAUCACUUUGCUAUGCAGCAGAAAUUAACACAAUUGUAAAUCAAGUAUACUCCAAUUAAAAAAAUAAAUUACAAAAAUGAAACCCAGUCCAGUGACUCCAGGCCAAGAGUUUAUCACAACUGCCUCCUUUAUGUACAUCUGCACAACUGAAAUAUACUUAUAGGCAAAAAAGUGUCCAUGUUAUUUCAAUUACUUGUCAACUUAGAGAAUUAAGACAUUUGUAUUUUGCACUAACUUAAGUAUAUGAUUAUUUAUAUAUCCUAUAUAUUGACUACUUGCCUGUUUUUUUAAGCUCUGCUGUCUGUUACCAUCAGUAUCAAAAACAAGUUUCAGGCUGUUUUACGCAGAACAGAUACAUGGUUCUUCUCAAACAAUAAGCUUUCCCUAACAUUUUUAAAGAAUUUGUUAAAGACAAAUAAACAAAAAAUGAAAAACCUUGAGUCAUAAAUUGUGUAUUUAAAUUUGUCUUUACCGAUUCACUUCUUUAAAUUACUUUCCAAAUGACUAGAGAUAUGUGUUUAUUUUUCCUGGCAAUCCCUUAAUACACACCAUCCUACCCCUGCCCCCACACUCCCUGCCACACUAAAGAAAUCAAUCUCACUUAUCUCCAUUAAUCCUAGACUAAAACCAACUUCAAAUUUUGGUUCAACAUUCACCAACUGAAGACAGUUUUCUAGGACUGGCCCAGUUCUGCUUUGAUCAUUUACUCUGUUGCUAUUAGUGAUGUAUUUUAUAUGUCCUAAAUUAUUUAGCACUUCUCCAUGUAUCAUUUUGUGUUUGUUCUCAUUCACUUUAUUUCUACAUAUUUGCAUUCUAAGUUUCAGGAGUCCUGACCCCUUCUUUUAUAUCAUCACAGAUGCUUUGUUAAAUGUCAUGAACAUUUCUAUAUUCAUUAUGUACAUAGUGGGUGUCCAAUAAAUACUUGUUAAUUAACUGUGCCCAGCUCACUCCUACCUAUUCACCCACAAACAUAGAUUCCCAAGAAAAUCAACGAAAUGAAAAAUGAACAGGUGAAGAAGAGGACACCAUAUUUGAAUUGGCAUACAAGCCUAUUCUCUCUUUUGCUUUACUAAUUUGUCUUGGGCUAGGGAAAAGAGGUUUGGUAUAUCUCCUAGCUUUUUAAGGAAUUUCAGGAUUGCUGGCCAAUUCCAGGCUCUUCCAUUGUGAUUGAAUCUCAGUGGAAAUAUUGUGAAAGUUCAAAUUACAUUAGUUUGGUCUUUUAUGUCGAAAACUUAGUUAAGUUCAAAAACAUCACUAUGUGUUAAUUUGCCCCUGCAGCUGUUGAAAGCUUAAUAUUAAAAAAAAAAAAACUGAUCUGAUCUAAGAGCUUUUAUAUAUGAGAAUUUCUACCAAAUGUAUGACCUUACUUAAAUCAUUUAACCACUCAACAACUUGCAGUUUCUUCAUCUACAGAAUAGGGAUAAUAAUACACUGAUCAUGUCACCUGGAUGGUUGUAAGGAUCCUAUGAGAUGAUGUAUAUGAAAGCACAUUAUAAACUCUGGUGAAAUAUACAAAUAUGAACUUACAUUUUUAAUGCUGAUCUCACCAUAUACUCUUUCGGUUAUGAUUUUUAAUAUCUCUAAUUAUUUGUGAGGCUAAAGGAUAUAGUUUCCAUUAAUGCGUGAAGAUACCUCCUUGUCUGCAUUGAGAUAGUUUCCAUUUCCAUGCUUCCUGCUAGCUUUAUUGACUGAUAAUCAACACACGUCACAUGCUCUUUAGAAACAGACCUAUUUUAGUCACUGGUAUUACAAUCUGAUCCUUUGUUCCUAUGGUACAGACUGUCCCCUCAAGUACAGUAUAAAAAAAAAAAAAAGGUAUAUUCAGUUAAAAUCUUUGCACAGUCUUAAGUGUACAGAUAAAGUCCAUUCUAACUGUGCAAAAUAAACUAUGUUUCUUAAACAAGAUUUCAUUCAUUUUUACCACACCCUAUCAGUUCCUCUAUCAAAACUUUGCUUUUUUAAUUGGUUCUGGAAAAAUUUCCAAAUAUGACUCUUCAAAAUGUUUAGUUAUAUGGCAUUAGAACUCCCUAUAAUAUCCUUCAGUAGUUAGAGGAAAUGGAGAGGAAAAGAAGGUAUGAAAAUCAUUACAGGUAAUAUGCCCUUCUCCUUUAAUCUCAUUGAAAUGACCCCGAAGGAGUUUCCAGGAGGAGUUCUUAACCUAGUAGAUUAAGGAUCUGACUGAAGCAGUUCGGGUCACUGUGUAGGUACGGGUUCAGAGAAGUAGGUUAAAGGAUCUGGUGUUGUCACAGCUGUGGCAUAGGUUGGAUUUGAUUCCUGGCCCAAGAAUGUCCAUACAUUACAGAUGUGGCCAUAAAAUUAAAUUUAAAAAAAAAGGACAAUUAAGUAUGUUCAAAAAAAAAAAAAUGACCCAGGAAAUAAAAAUAUAUAUUUGUGAGCAAACCUACAUCAGCAAUGGGCAAAGGGACAAGCACUUACUAGCAACAUUAGAAAACAAUCUACUAGAGGUGGGCAGACUAAUCUGAGCUGAAAAAGGAACUGCUGUAUCCAAAGGGGACAUAAGUAUAGGAGACCCCAGCAGAUUCUCAAUACUAUCCCUCACAUGGAGGGACUGGAGGCAAGACUCCUAAAGUCAGGGGCAUUCUAGAAAGCCACCACAGAGACUCUGAGAAAAGCACCAGUCCCAGAGAGUAUACAGAGGGGUUUGCUCUUGACAUAUUUUUUUAACUCAAAUAUAAACACACUAUACCCAUUACUCUGCUUUGGAUAUGUUUCCAUAUCAGAAUAUAUAGAUCUACCGCUUUAUUUAUUUAUUUUUUUUAAGGGCCACACCUGUGGCAUAUGGAGUCAAAUCAGAGCUACAGCUGUCAGUCUAUGCCGUAGCCACCACAAUGCCAGAUCUAGCUGCAUCUGCAACCUACACCAUAGCUUGGGGCAAUGCAGGAUCUUUAACCCACAGAGUGACACCAGGAUCGAACCCGCAUUCUGGAUACUAGUGGGGUUCUUCACCCGCUGAGCCAUGAUGCGAACUCUUACUGCAUUAUUUCUAAUGUUUCGGUCACAUUGCUGUAUAGCUGUAUCACAUCUGUGUAUAUUGCUGAAAGAAUAGUUAACUAAAUUCCAAAAAGUAAAUUGCUAAUCUACAGGUGUGAAAAUUUCAUUUCGAUUAAUACUAUCAAAUUGCCCCCCUUAAAAUAUCAAAGCCACCUAUCCCACCACCAAAGUAUAAAAGGAUUAGUAUGUACAAAUUCUUACCAAUUACCAUACUUUAAUUUUUUAGCUGUAAUGUUAUCUAUUUUUUGCAAUCUUUUAACUUUUUUUACCACUCUAGAGGGUAAAGGUGACAUUUCAUGUUCUUUUCAUUGUUUCUUGGGUGACUCAUGAGGUUUAGCGUUAUUUUCACACAUUUGUAAACCACUGUAUUUCUUCCUCUGUGAAAUUUUUACUCUUUCCCUUUUCUUCAUUUGGGUUGUUUUUCACUUGGGUCAGUUCUUCACUUGGGUUGUUUUUGUUUGUUUGUUUGUUCUUUUUGUCUUUGGCUUUAUAAGCAGGAGAAUAGAUAAGAGAACAGAAGCUGGAGCCAGCCCAGCUGGACUCAAACCCCAGCUCUACCACUUAGUACUCCUUUCCUCACCUAGAAAAGUAUGAUAAUGCCGGAAACUACCAUAUAGUGUUGUUUCAGGACUUUUGAAUGACUUAAAAUUAAAAAGUACUUAGAACAGUGCCAGGCACAGAGAGAUAUUCUUUUCCAUUACGGUUUAUCACAAGAUAUUGAAUUUAGUUCCCUGUGGUAUAUAGUAGGACCUAGUUUUUUUACACAUUCUAUAUGUAAUAGUUUGCUAAUCCCAAACUCCCAAUUCAUCCCCACCCUCUCCUUGACAAUCACAAGUCUAUUCUCUACAUUUGUGAGUCUAUUAGAAAAAGAUUCUAAUAUCAUACUCAGAAAGGUAAUUCUCACUCUAAGAUUUUAAAAGUCUUCUUCCACAUGUCCUUGCAAUGAUUUUAUUUUAUUUUAUUUUAUUUUGACCUUGGGCUCUUUAAUCUAUUUGAGAUUUAUUUUUAGAAACUGGAUAAAAUAACACAAACUUUACUCUUUUCUUCAUGGAUAGCCAGUUGUCCUGCUCUUUCUUUUACUCAUUAAUUUGAAAUACUCAAAAACUGACAUCACAACUGGGAUUGCUUUGUUUCCCUAUCACCUUGGAGAGGAUUGGUAAUUUUACAACAUGAGUUGUCCUACAUUAGGACAUGGUAAUUACUCUAUUUUUUCUGGUCUUGCCUUGUAUCCUCAGUUAAGGUUUUGUGGUUUUUCUUUGUAAAAAUCUUACCCAUCUCUUGCUCAUUAUAUUCUUAAGCAUGUCUUUAAUUUACCAAUUGCAUUUACUAUGUACUGAAUUACAGUAAUGUAUUUCCCAGUGUUGAAUCAUCCUCAUUGACUGUAGGAGUCUAUUCAAUGAUUUCUUAUGAAAUAUGUCAAACAUACAGAAAAAAAGCAUUACAUAUAUUUAAUUUAUAUUAUAUUUAUGUCAUAUUUAAUAGAAGACUAACAUAGUAUAAAUUAAAUACCUGUGUAUUAUUUGCCAUUGAUCUUUGUCAAAUCUAAACAUUUUGUGAUAUUUAUAUAAUUGGAGGGGGGAUGGAAAUUCAUCAAUACAGCCAGAGUCCCUAACAUACCUCUCCCAGAUUCCAUUCCCAGAUUCCAUUCCCCUUGCUCCCUACUCAGUUAUAACCAUUAUCCUGAAUUAAAGGUUUAUCAUUACCAUGGAUGUGUUUUUAAUAUUAGUACAUAUAAAUAACUCAUAAUUUAUACCAUGUAGUAUUUUUCAACCUGUACGUGAAUUGCAUGAUACUGUAUUUUCAUUCUGCAGCUUGGUUUUGUUUUUGUUUUUUGACUCAAAAAAAAAAUUUUUUUUUUUCUUGUCUUUUAUUAGAGCCACACCAGCGGCAUGUGGAGGUUCCCAGCUUAGGGGUCUAAUCGAAGCUGUAGCCGCUGGCCUACACCACAGCCAUAGCAAUUUUACCAGGUCCAAACCACGUCUGUGACCUACACCACAGCUCAUGGCAAGGCCGGAUCCUUAACCCACUGAGUGAUGCCAGGGAUCGAACUCGCAAACUCAUGGUUCCUAAUUGGAUUCGUUUCUGCUGCGCCACGACGGGAAUUCCGAAAAAUUUUUUUAAUUAUUGAUGCCUGUAGUUCUAGCUUAUUCGACAGAGGUGUGGUACUCCAGUUUAUGAAUAUAUUUCCAUUUGUUCAUUCUUCCGCUGACCGACAUACAGGGUGUUUCCAAUGCUUUCCUAAUGUAUGUGGCGCUAUGAUGAAUACUCAUGUGCAUGUAGAUUUUCCCCAGAGCUGUACUACCCAAUACUUUAGCCACUUCUCUAAAUAGCUUGUUCGUAUCUUUGCCCACUUUUCUGUCAGACUUGUUUCUCCUUUUCUUUUAUAUUUGUAGUAGCAAUUUAUACAUUUAGAAUAUUUGUAUAUUAUAUUAGUUACAUGUGGUAUAAAUAUUUUCUCCCAUUCUGAACUUUUCUUUCAACUUUGAUUAUGGUGUCUUUUGUUAAGCAGGGGUUUUUUGUUUCAUCAAUCUUUGCCUUUUUGAUGUAUGCUUUUGGCUGUCUUAUUCAACAAAUCCUUCCCUAUCCCAAGAUCAAAAACAUAUCUCUUACAUUUUCUCCUAAAAUGCCUAAAAUGUUAAAGGCUUUUUAUGUUUAGGUUUUAAUCCCCCUGGAAUGAACACUUAAGUGUAUGGUAUGAGAAUUUUAUUUUCUGUGUGGAUAGCCAUCUGUUCCAUGAUAAUAUUUUGAAUAGUUUGUCCUGUUUCCAAUUAUUUGUAAUAUAUCAUAUACCAUAUCUUUCUCUAUAUAUGGUUCUUUUCUAGGCUUUCUAUUCUGUUACAUAUAUGUGUAGUUGACCCUCUAUAUCCAUGAGUUCCACAUCCAGGGAGUAAACCAACUGGAUCAGGAGUUCCCAUCAUGGAGCAGUGGAAACGAAUCCAACUAGGAACCACAAAACUGUGGGUUUGAUCCCUGGCCUCGCUCAGUGGGUUAAGGAUCUGGCAUUGCCGUGAGCUGUGCUGUAGGUUGCAGACACAGCUCAGAUCUGAUGUUGCUAUGGCUGUGGUAUAGGCUGACAGCUGUAGCUCUGAUUUGACCCCUAGCCUGAGAACUUCCAUAUGCCGGGAGUG
rnacentral:lncRNA from 1 species